rnacentral:rRNA from 1 species
GUCGAACGAAGUAAGUUGCUUCACCAAGUGUUGAAUAGAUACCCCAAGCGCAUUUGCCAAAGGGUAAGCGAAAAGUACUAUCAAUUAAAUAAAAUGGUGAAACAAAAGAAUAGCGAAGAAGAAGCAAAUGCGCUUCACGCUAAUUCCAAGUACCAACACAAAACAAAUUCAAUGUUUGGUGAAGCAACUUGCUUAGUGGCGGACGGGUGAGUAACGCGUGAACAAUCUGCCCCGUACAAAGGGAUAGCCUCGGGAAACCGGGAUUAAAACCAUAUAACACUUAACUGCCGCAUGGUAGUGAAGUCAAAUCGAUUAAGAGGUAUGGGAUGAGUUCGCGUCUGAUUAGCUAGUUGGUGAGGUAAGGGCUCACCAAGGCGACGAUCAGUAGCCGGCCUGAGAGGGUGAACGGCCACACUGGAACUGAGACACGGUCCAGACUCCUACGGGAGGCAGCAGUGGGGAAUAUUGCACAAUGGAGGGAACUCUGAUGCAGCGACGCCGCGUGAGUGAAGAAGGUCUUCGGAUCGUAAAACUCUGUCCUUGGUGAAGAAAAGGACGGUAGCCAAGGAGGAAGCCCCGGCUAACUACGUGCCAGCAGCCGCGGUAAUACGUAGGGGGCGAGCGUUGUCCGGAUUUACUGGGCGUAAAGGGUGAGUA